rnacentral:rRNA from 1 species
GUGGGGAAUAUUGGGCAAUGGGGGGAACCCUGACCCAGCAACGCCGCGUGAAGGAAGAAGGCCUUCGGGUUGUAAACUUCUAUCCUUGGUGAAGAGGAGAAUGACGGUAGCCAAGAAGGAAGCCCCGGCUAACUACGUGCCAGCAGCCGCGGUAAUACGUAGGGGGCAAGCGUUGUCCGGAAUGAUUGGGCGUAAAGGGCGUGUAGGCGGCGAUCUAAGUCUGGAGUGAAAGUCCUGCUUUUAAGGUGGGAAUUGCUUUGGAUACUGGAUGGCUAGAGUGCAGGAGAGGUUAGUGGAAUUCCCAGUGUAGCGGUGAAAUGCGUAGAGAUUGGGAGGAACACCAGUGGCGAAGGCGACUAACUGGACUGUAACUGACGCUGAGGCGCGAAAGUGUGGGGAGCAAACAGGAUUAGAUACCCUGGUAGUCCA